UAGUAGUGGGGGAUAGCACGGGGAAACUCGUAUUAAUACCGCAUACGACCUACGGGAGAAAGGGGGCAGUUUACUGCUCUCGCUAUUAGAUGAGCCUAAGUCGGAUUAGCUAGAUGGUGGGGUAAAGGCCUACCAUGGCGACGAUCUGUAGCUGGUCUGAGAGGAUGAUCAGCCACACCGGGACUGAGACACGGCCCGGACUCCUACGGGAGGCAGCAGUGGGGAAUAUUGGACAAUGGGGGAAACCCUGAUCCAGCCAUGCCGCGUGUGUGAAGAAGGCCUUUUGGUUGUAAAGCACUUUAAGCAGUGAAGAAGACUCCAUGGUUAAUACCCAUGGACGAUGACAUUAGCUGCAGAAUAAGCACCGGCUAACUCUGUGCCAGCAGCCGCGGUAAUACAGAGGGUGCAAGCGUUAAUCGGAAUUACUGGGCGUAAAGGGAGCGUAGGUGGCUCUAUAAGUCAGAUGUGAAAUCCCCGGGCUUAACCUGGGAACUGCAUCUGAAACUGUAGAGCUAGAGUAUGUGAGAGGAAGGUAGAAUUC
rnacentral:rRNA from 1 species